rnacentral:rRNA from 1 species
ACGUACACUCCUACGGGAGGCAGCAGUGGGGAAUAUUGCACAAUGGGCGCAAGCCUGAUGCAGCCAUGCCGCGUGUAUGAAGAAGGCCUUCGGGUUGUAAAGUACUUUCAGCGGGGAGGAAGGCGAUAAGGUUAAUAACCUUGUCGAUUGACGUUACCCGCAGAAGAAGCACCGGCUAACUCCGUGCCAGCAGCCGCGGUAAUACGGAGGGUGCAAGCGUUAAUCGGAAUUACUGGGCGUAAAGCGCACGCAGGCGGUCUGUCAAGUCGGAUGUGAAAUCCCCGGGCUCAACCUGGGAACUGCAUUCGAAACUGGCAGGCUAGAGUCUUGUAGAGGGGGGUAGAAUUCCAGGUGUAGCGGUGAAAUGCGUAGAGAUCUGGAGGAAUACCGGUGGCGAAGGCGGCCCCCUGGACAAAGACUGACGCUCAGGUGCGAAAGCGUGGGGAGCAAACAGGAUUAGAUACCCCGGUAGUCCCAUGAU